rnacentral:rRNA from 1 species
UACACUCCUGCGGGAGGCAGCAGUGGGGAAUUUUGGACAAUGGGCGAAAGCCUGAUCCAGCAAUGCCGCGUGUGUGAAGAAGGCCUUCGGGUUGUAAAGCACUUUUGUCCGGAAAGAAAUCCUUGGCUCUAAUACAGUCGGGGGAUGACGGUACCGGAAGAAUAAGCACCGGCUAACUACGUGCCAGCAGCCGCGGUAAUACGUAGGGUGCGAGCGUUAAUCGGAAUUACUGGGCGUAAAGCGUGCGCAGGCGGUUUGCUAAGACCGAUGUGAAAUCCCCGGGCUCAACCUGGGAACUGCAUUGGUGACUGGCAGGCUAGAGUAUGGCAGAGGGGGGUAGAAUUCCACGUGUAGCAGUGAAAUGCGUAGAGAUGUGGAGGAAUACCGAUGGCGAAGGCAGCCCCCUGGGCCAAUACUGACGCUCAUGCACGAAAGCGUGGGGAGCAAACAGGAUUAGAUACCCCUGUAGUCCCAUGAU